AGUGAACGCUGGCGGUAGGCCUAACACAUGCAAGUCGAACGGCAGCACAGUAAGAGCUUGCUCUUACGGGUGGCGAGUGGCGGACGGGUGAGGAAUACAUCGGAAUCUACUUUUUCGUGGGGGAUAACGUAGGGAAACUUACGCUAAUACCGCAUACGACCUACGGGUGAAAGCAGGGGAUCUUCGGACCUUGCGCGAUUGAAUGAGCCGAUGUCGGAUUAGCUAGUUGGCGGGGUAAAGGCCCACCAGGGCGACGAUCCGUAGCUGGUCUGAGAGGAUGAUCAGCCACACUGGAACUGAGACACGGUCCAGACUCCUACGGGAGGCAGCAGUGGGGAAUAUUGGACAAUGGGCGCAAGCCUGAUCCAGCCAUACCGCGUGGGUGAAGAAGGCCUUCGGGUUGUAAAGCCCUUUUGUUGGGAAAGAAAGGCAGCAGGUUAAUACCCCGCUGUUCUGACGGUACCCAAAGAAUAAGCACCGGCUAACUUCGUG
rnacentral:rRNA from 1 species